AACACCGUGUCACCAGCGAGAUGUUUUCAGGACAUCCAGCGCGCAGAAAGGACCAAGCCCGACCCGCAGGAAGGUGUUAGUUCAUCCAUCAGCUCCUGUCAAUCCGAGAAGGCGUGAACCCGCCUCCUGUCAGGGGAAGCCAGAGAUCGCAGAGACACUGAGAAGUUGUUGGGUUUUCCAUCCAGAGGCAGAGACCGCAUGCGGCGUUCUGCUUCCCAGGCAGACAGAGAAUGGAGGUUGCCUCUGGCUUCAGGUC